UCAAACUUGGUCAUUUAGAGGAAGUAAAAGUCGUAACAAGGUUUCCUUCCCCUACUGAAGCCUCCUGCAGCGACUCUAAAGAACUGCACAGUUUGCUCGCAAGCAAUGCCACUCAAAUGCUGAGACUUCUUGAAUCAGCAGCCUUUAGGGCUCACAGAUCAGAUAGUGGUAGCCACCAAACAGUGGUCAAGAUAUGACCGGUCUUAGCUAGAGCUAGCUAAGAGUACACGUUCCGUAGGUGAACCUGCGGAAGGAUCAUUACAAAUAGGUUAUGGGUACCCAGUGCCCAAACUUCAACCCAAUGUCUUCCACAACUUUGUUUCUUUGCCGGUCUCGGUCGGCAGAAGAUUUCUCAAACUCAACUGUUGAAAUCUGUCAUCUGAAUUUAAAAUUGAAUAAAUCAAAACUUUCAACAACGGAUCUCUUGGUUCUGGCAUCGAUGAAGAACGCAGC
rnacentral:misc_RNA from 1 species